AUUGAACGCUGGCGGUAUGCCUAACACAUGCAAGUCGAACGGCAACACGCUAUGGGCUUGCUCUUACUGGUGGCGGGGGGCGGACUGGUUCGGAAUGCAUCGGAAGCUACUUUUUCAUGGAGGGUAACGUGGGGUAACUUACGCUAAUACCGCAUACGGCCAACGGGGGAAAGCAGAGGAACUUCUGACCUUGCGCGAUUGAAGCAGCCGAUGUCGGAUUAGCUAGUUGGCGGGGUAAAGGCCCACCAAGGCGACGAUCCGUAGCUGGUCUGAGAGGAUGAUCAGCCACACUGGAACUGAGACACGGCCCAGACUCCUACGGGAGGCAGCAGUGGGGAAUAUUGGACAAUGGGCGCAAGCCUGAUCCAGCAAUACCGCGUGGGUGAAGAAGGCCUUCGGGUUGUAAAGCCCUUUUGUUGGGAAAGAAAAGCAGCAGGCUAAUACCGCGCGGUUAUGACGGUACCUAAAGAAUAAGCACCGGCUAACUUCGUG
rnacentral:rRNA from 1 species